GUUUUGAACUGAUCUCCAAAUAAUGGCCAAGCUUUCAUAUCUUAUGUCCAGACUGCUGCAAGACAUGGAUGCAAUGUCAUGAAUUAAGGAUUGCGUUAAGGCCCCAAAAAGAAGAUGAACCAAAUCCUGAUCGCCUGACUCGUGAGGCAUGUGAGCAGAUAUUAACCUUAGGCUGGUUUGUGCAUCCUGGAACACAAGCAUCUUUUACUUCACAGGAAUGUACCUGUUGGACAGUCAAAGGAGUUGCUCCAUUCCUAUGGACCCCAAAUCAGAAU